rnacentral:lncRNA from 1 species
GAACAACAAAAAAAGAAGGAAAUCCUGCCAUUUGUGACAACAUGGAUGAACCUGGAGGACAUUAUCCUAAGUGAAAUAAGCCAGACACAGAAAGUCAAAUACUGCGUGAUCUCAAAUGUGGAAUCUAAAAAAAGUCAAACUCAUAGAAGCAGAGCGUAGAACGGUGGUUACCAGAAGCUGGGCCAUGAAGGGAUUGGGAAGAUGUUGUUCAAAGGGUACACACUUUCACUUAUAAGAUGAACAAGUUCUGGGGGUCUAAUGUAGCACAUGGC